AUUGAACGCUGGCGGCAGGCCUAACACAUGCAAGUCGAGCGGUAGAGAGAAGCUUGCUUCUCUUGAGAGCGGCGGACGGGUGAGUAAUACCUAGGAAUCUGCCUGAUAGUGGGGGAUAACGUUCGGAAACGGACGCUAAUACCGCAUACGUCCUACGGGAGAAAGCAGGGGACCUUCGGGCCUUGCGCUAUCAGAUGAGCCUAGGUCGGAUUAGCUAGUUGGUGAGGUAAUGGCUCACCAAGGCUACGAUCCGUAACUGGUCUGAGAGGAUGAUCAGUCACACUGGAACUGAGACACGGUCCAGACUCCUACGGGAGGCAGCAGUGGGGAAUAUUGGACAAUGGGCGAAAGCCUGAUCCAGCCAUGCCGCGUGUGUGAAGAAGGUCUUCGGAUUGUAAAGCACUUUAAGUUGGGAGGAAGGGCAUUAACCUAAUACGUUAGUGUUUUGACGUUACCGACAGAAUAAGCACCGGCUAACUCUGUGCCAGCAGCCGCGGUAAUACAGAGGGUGCAAGCGUUAAUCGGAAUUACUGGGCGUAAAGCGCGCGUAGGUGGUUUGUUAAGUUGAAUGUGAAAUCCCCGGGCUCAACCUGGGAACUGCAUCCAAAACUGGCAAGCUAGAGUAUGGUAGAGGGUAGUGGAAUUUCCUGUGUAGCGGUGAAAUGCGUAGAUAUAGGAAGGAACACCAGUGGCGAAGGCGACUACCUGGACUGAUACUGACACUGAGGUGCGAAAGCGUGGGGAGUAAACAGGAUUAGAUACCCUGGUAGUCCACGCCGUAAACGAUGUCAACUAGCCGUUGGGAGUCUUGAACUCUUAGUGGCGCAGCUAACGCAUUAAGUUGACCGCCUGGAGAGUACGGCCGCAAGGUUAA
rnacentral:rRNA from 1 species